AUCAAUCAGAGGAUGGAAAAUUUGUGGCAUGUAUGACAUGUUUGAAAUGCCUUGUCCAUAAUACGCUAACAGGAUUGAGGAGGGUGUAUUUGGGAAUAGCCUCUCUUGUCAGUAUCAUUAAUUUGCUUAUUGCUCCUGCUGGCAAUGUUUUGAUGAGGUUGGGCUGUCAGGGCAAAGGAACUGAUGAUUUUAGUAGGCAGUGACUUUUUUCAAAGCUGGAAACUAUCAUUGUGAAUUAGCCACACUUGUGCCUGUUAACUCAACUUCUUAUUCUGAUAAACUAGUUUUAAGAAGGAUACAAUAUUUUAUUAUAUAAACUUGAUGCAUAGGCUGUACAGAAAACUUUAAUUUGACUGAAAUUUUUAUAGCCAAUACCAAUCCCUACACAUAAUAAAAUGUUAGGAGGAUCAGAGAAAAAAUAAUGUGCCAUACAUCUGCAAGAUUUAUUUUAAUUAAUACAUGAAUAUUAACUGAUACUAGGAGAUCUAAGAAUAUUCAAAAGAAAAGAAAAUUUGGUUCAAAAAUUAGAAUUCAGCAUAGGCUGGAUAACCAAGAUUCUUAGAAAAAGAAAUUUGUACUAAUGAAAAAGCUAAUUUAAUUUUUUAACUUAUUAAGCUAAGGCAUUUAUAUUCUUGCCUUGUGCAAUAUGUGGAUGCCAAUUAACUUAACUUUCAUGCAUCAAAAUACAAAAAAUGUUCUCUUCAUCUAUGUGCCCUAAACAUUACAGGUGAGGGGGCAAGUCAAAGUAAAAACAUGAUUUAAAACAGGAUGGCCCCCAUUAAUUUCAGUCCUAAUUAAAGGAGGAUCCUUGCUUUUCCAGAUUCCUACCCUUAAAAACUCACAUAUCUUGUGACCAUUUCCAGAUAUCAAUGUUUAUUUUUGAUAUGAACAUGGGUAAGAAACACCAUGCAUUAAUGAAAGCUUGAGCACAAGUAUUAAAUGCAGUCUGAAUAAUAAUAAUAUUACAUGUUACAAUGUGGUAACUUGGACAGCAAAAUUAUAUAAUAACACAAUUCCAAACAAAGGAAGUCAGGUUAUUGACCCACCUUCUUCAACUUUUGAGAAAUAGAUAUGGUAAACAGUUACAAUUAAUGGAAAGUUGAAAGUUUGAAAGCUCAAUGAUAUACAUUAAAAUCAUCAGAACCUAUGCAUCCUAGCGAAAAAAGGUCAAUUACCACCAUAACUUCUCCCAAACAUUCAUGCUUAUGGGAUAACAUUAAUUUUUUUUUACUAGGUGAUACUGUACUUAAAAUACUUCUACUGACACAAAUGCAUUUUUCUAAAGUUAUCUCAUAGUAUAUGACUGUACAGGUCAUGUGGAUGGUUCUUGCAUGGGGACUGACAUUUCAAUUACCCCAGCAAACUUUAAUCACCAGAAUUGCAAGCUGAGGUGUAUUUACCAUGUGCUCAAGUUUCCAAAUCAGUCACCUACCUCAGUUACAGUGGAGUUCACUCCUUUUUGAGGCUAUCUUCAGCUUGAUCAUCCUGUUACAUGUGAAAACAUCAAAUUUUAAAGGAAAUGAUCACCAACUAAAGAAGCUCAAAUUCUUCUUAUCGGCAUCUCAGGAGAUGAAUGGAGAACAGUUUGAAGAAUAUGCACACUGAUGUUAGUGGGUAAGGGGUUGAGCAGCCAACACCUCAUUAAAUUA
rnacentral:lncRNA from 1 species